rnacentral:pre_miRNA from 1 species
UAAUGAUGACAACAAUGAUGAUGAUGGCAAUGAUGAUGAUGACGAUGAUGAUCAUCAUCAUCAUCGUCAUCAUCAUCAUCAUGGUAG